CCGGGCGCACGGGUGAGUAACGCGUAUGCAACCUGCCCGUUUCAGCGGGAUAACCCGGAGAAAUCCGGCCUAAUACCGCAUGUGGCCGAGGGAGGCAUCUUCUUUCGGCCAAAGGAGGCGACUCCGGAGACGGAUGGGCAUGCGUGACAUUAGCUAGUUGGCGGGGUAACGGCCCACCAAGGCGACGAUGUCUAGGGGUUCUGAGAGGAAGGUCCCCCACACCUGGUACUGAGACACGGACCAGACUCCUACGGGAGGCAGCAG
rnacentral:rRNA from 1 species